GAGGAGGAGAAAGGAUUGUUUGUUGCCCGCAGGAGGAAUUCAAGGUGACCUGAGAGACCCAACAGAGACAAAUGUGACUAUACUACCAAGAGCAGGUGUCGUACUGCAAUCAGACCUUCUUGCCAUGAAUCGAUAUGUUUUUGGGUACCUGACCUGACCGAGCAGCUGAUCCUAUUACUGCUGAUUGAUCAUCUUGCUCUCUGAGUGUGAAUGUGUGGGCUUGAGGUGUUUUUGAGGGACCAUAUGGCACAAUACCACACGUUAUAGG